rnacentral:rRNA from 1 species
ACUCCUACGGGAGGCAGCAGUGGGGAAUAUUGGACAAUGGGGGAAACCCUGAUCCAGCAAUGCCGCGUGUGUGAAGAAGGCCUGAGGGUUGUAAAGCACUUUCAACUGUGAGGAUUGGGGUAUUUUUGGGUUAAUACCCGAGAUCCUUGACGUUAGCAGUAGAAGAAGCACCGGCUAACUCCGUGCCAGCAGCCGCGGUAAUACGGAGGGUGCAAGCGUUAAUCGGGAAUUACUGGGCGUAAAGCGUUCUGUAGGCGGCUUAUUAAGUCGGAUGUGAAAUCCCAGGGCUUAACCUUGGAACUGCAUUCGAUACUGGUAGGCUAGAGUGUGUAAGAGGAUAGUGGAAUUCCAGGUGGUAGCGGUGAAAUGCGUAGAUAUGUGGAGGAACAUCAGUGGCGAAGGCGACUGUCUGGUACAACACUGACGCUCAGAGACGAAAGCGUGGGAGCAAACAGGAUUAGAUACCCUGGUAGACUGUCA